GAGCACCUUCUAGCAGAGCGCCUCGGCGCUGUCUUUGGUCGGCACUUUCUAACCGAGCAGCUUAUUUUGGUUGGGCACCUCUUGGCGCGCACUCUGGUCGGCGCCUUCUAGUCGAGCGCCUUCCUGGUCGGCGCUCUCUGGUCUCGGCCUUCUGGCCUCGGCUCUCUGGCCUCGGCUCUCUGUGCUCGGCCUUCUGUGCUUGGCCUGCUGUGCUCGGCCUGCUGUGCUCGGCCCGCUGUGCUCGGCCUAUGAGCUCGAUCACUUGGACGAGCUCGAGAGCGGAAGAGCUCCAUCACUUGGAUGAGCUCGAGAGCGGAAGAGCUCCAUCACUUAGGAUGAGCUCGAGAGCGGAAGAGCCCGAUCACUUAGGAUGAGCUCGAGAGCGGAAGAGCUCCAUCACUUGGGAUGAGCUCGAG
rnacentral:lncRNA from 1 species